rnacentral:lncRNA from 1 species
CCCUCCUUGGCCUCCCAAAGUGCUUGGAUUACAGGCAUGUGCCACUAUGCCCAGCUGCACUUGUCUUUCUUUAGGCCAAAUUAAUUAGAACUCUUCUUACAGACAUCACACACAGUAUACACACAAACGAGCAGAAGAAAACCCAGUUGCUGGUUGGGUCCCUUUAAGAGACAGGCUAGGAAAACAUGCAGAUAUUCAACCAGAGAGGGCUUAACCCUAAGGCAGGAUUGCUAAAUAAAGUUUUCCCAAGCUCCCAAGCGGUUACUGGCCAUGCCCCCAGGAUGUAAAACAAGAUGGAGGUUUGCAGCACAAACCAUACAGAAAUGCAAAGCGCACCAAAUUGGCCACAGCCGAAGGGAGAUAAAUUUAAUUCCUGUGGGUCAGAGCUGGCCUCCCUGGAGCGAAGAGGAAGACACUCCAUGGGCACGAGGCAGAAACUGCCAGUCAGCUACUCAAGGCAACUUGGGCCAUGCGUCCCAGCCCAGCAGGGAGGGGAGGGCGGUGGGGAGCCGCUGCUUACUGGACCCUCUGGAAAAAGGAAGCAAAGGGCUGUGUCCGGAAUUGGUGGGUUCUUGGUCUCACUGACUUCAAACAUGAAGCCGCGGACCCUCACAGUGAGUGUUACAGUUCUUAAAGGCGGCGUGUCCGGAGCUUCUUCCUUCUGAUGUUCGGAUGUGUUCGGAGUUUCUUCCUUCCGUUGGGUUCAUGAUCUUGCUGGCUCAGGAGUGAAGCUGCAGACCUUCGCGGUGAGUGUUACAUCUUUUAAGGCUGCGCGUCUG